GUCGAAUGGUCGUAAGUUGCAUAGGUGGUAGGUCGAUCAAUACCUGUACUAUUUUCAGGAUUAAAUGUUGAAUCAUGCAGGUCAACAAUUUACAGUUUUCACAGGUAAGGGUUUGAGUAUCAGGUCUAAUGCUUACAUUUCCUAAUACCAACAUACAGGUGGCUUAACACAACUUGGAAACGGAAUAGUUCUGUUUGGUUUUUUGUGCCAGUCGAUCCUUUUCCUUUCCACACUCAUAUGAGCUGUUGCCAUAGUCAAUUCCACAGGCUCCGGGUGCUCUGGACCUAAAAUGGGUUUAAUGAGCUUUGGUUUGGGUGGGGCUGUUCCUUUAUCUUUACAUUUAGUGGGAAAAGGAGAUUCUAUUCUUUUAGUAAGGUUAUUUCUAGUUGUUACAUUUUCCGUUAUUUCUAACAAUAUUGGUGCAUCUACACAAGAUACCUGUCUCAUACAGUUUUUUUCUUAAUUUACCUUUAGGAGCCCAGUCAAUAAUCGCCCCAUAUGCAUUAUCUUGAAGUAUGACUGCCCUGUCAGCUACACAAUCUUUCCAAGGCACCGGUUAUUAGGAAGACCAGGCAUCCAAAUGCUAUCAUUUAUGUGAGGAAGGAGACCUAAGCAUCUAAGAUCACCUCCCCCUUGACUUCCACACUGCAUUUCAAGACUGGCACCUCCUUAAUUGCCUUCCUAUAGCAGGUAUGGUGUGGGGAAUCUUUCCAGAAGGCAUUGCUUUGGCACCCCCACUCCAUGGACCAAGAUCCUUUCACAUGUAAUUUCUAAGGCCAAGGCCUCAGAAAUGUAAACCCAAGGCUCUUUCACGUGUAAUUUCUAAAGCUGUAAAACCAAGACCCUUUCACAUGUAAUAUCUAGAGUUGUAAGCCUAUAUAGAGGCAGAGCUUCUCUUUGUUAGGGGAGCUUGGCAGUUAGAUAACUAUGUUGCCUUGCUCCCGGCUGUUCCUGCUUCAUAUGUACACCUCUGUAGGUGAAUCCAUCCAAGUAAUAGGUGUAAUCAAAGGUGGAAAUGGCCCAAUACGUAUAGUUCUCUUCUGCUGAAACAAGGUUAUUACCCCAGCAGUCACAACCAUGACUGCUGCCAGAAUAAGAUUACCUGGUGUCACCUCCAUGCGAGUCUCCCUCAGGCUUGCUGUUGCCAUCUGCACCAGCCUCUUCAUUUGACCCCAUGCCAGCAGGUUGGUUUUCUGUGUUGCCUUUGUCCCUGAGACACUCAGCUUGGCUAUCUUGCGCCACACCACUCCUGGGCCUGUUCUUUCUCUUCUUGCUCUGUAGUUUGGAGGGGCUCAUUGUAGGGGUUCAUUGUAAAGCUUUGGCUGCCUGGUAGGUACCCAAAUGUGAGGUUGGUUUUCUCCUGGUAAAAUACAAGCAUAGCCUCUUCCCUAGGUUACAACCUUUCCCAAGUUCCACUGAUUGGUGAUGGAAUCUUUCCACCAUAUUGUCUUUCCUUCCUUGGGAUUAAUUUUGUGUCCAACAAAAUGUUUUUUGGCAGCUGUGGACCCUUGGAAACAUUCAAAAAAUUUAAAGUGAUUAAUGCCAAUUGUAAUUGUGCUUGAGGAGUAAAAUACUCCUUACUGUCGACCCCGGUUUUUGGUUUUGCCAGUUGAGUUUUUAAGGUUCUGUUUACCGUUUCUACUAUUGCUUGUCCCUGGGAGUUACAGGGGAUUCCUGUUGUAUGAAUUAUGUUCCAUCGUUUGAGGAACUGCUUUAGUGGCUUACUGCAGUAUCCUAGCCCAUUAUCAGUUUUAAUUUUUUGUGGAAUUCUCAUAAUCGCAAAGCAAGAAAACAGGUUUUUUUAACAUGUGCAGUGCUUUCUCCUGUUUGGCAAGUUGCCCAAAUGAAAUGAGAGAGUAGCCACAGUAACAUGAACAUAAGAUAAUUUUCCAAAUGAAGGAACAUGAGUAACAUCCGUUUGCCAAAUUGAAUUUCGGUGUAAUCUUCUAUGAUUUACCACUGCCUCUUGAGUGCGUAGUUGAAGAACUUGACAUUGAGGGCAAUGUUGGACAAUUUGUUUCAACUGUCUCCAAGUUAAAGGAAAUAUAUUUUUUAAACCUGCUGCAUUUGUAGUUCAUACAUGCAAUUUUUUGGCUUCUAUAAAAACUGGAGAAACCAGUAAAUCUGCCUGUUCGUUUGCUUGAGCUAAAGGUCCAGGUAAACAAGUAUGUGUUCGAAUAUGUAUGAUAUAAUAAAAUGGAGCUUCUCUGCUUCU